rnacentral:lncRNA from 1 species
AGAAAGGGGUUCAUAGGUGUUAGGGGAUACAUAGCCUGAAGGGGAUUUGGAAAGGAGGCUUGAUUUUGUGGAUGAAAAGAAUUUGGUUGGUAAGUGGGAAGGACGUUUUGGAAAUUGGGAAGGCUCUACGGACUUUGCGAGUAGUUUGGCAGAAUUUGAGAAGGAUUUCGCAGAUUUGGACAUGAAUUUGGUGGAUUCAAAGGUAGGUUUGACGUAUUUUGUGGAUUUGGGAGUGAAUCUUACGGAUUUGGAAAUGUGUUUUGAGGAUUUGGAAAUGUGUUUUAAGGAUUUGGGAAUGGAUUCGAAGGUGGGUUCUGUGGGGUUACGGAUGGAUUUUGUGGAUGGUAGACGUUUGGAUAAUUUUCACGAUUAGUAUUUUGGACAAAUGGAGGAGCGGAGCCGGAU